GCAGUCGAACGGUGAACACGGAGCUUGCUCUGUGGGAUCAGUGGCGAACGGGUGAGUAACACGUGAGCAACCUGCCCCUGACUCUGGGAUAAGCGCUGGAAACGGCGUCUAAUACUGGAUAUGUGACGUGACCGCAUGGUCUGCGUCUGGAAAGAAUUUCGGUUGGGGAUGGGCUCGCGGCCUAUCAGCUUGUUGGUGAGGUAAUGGCUCACCAAGGCGUCGACGGGUAGCCGGCCUGAGAGGGUGACCGGCCACACUGGGACUGAGACACGGCCCAGACUCCUACGGGAGGCAGCAGUGGGGAAUAUUGCACAAUGGGCGCAAGCCUGAUGCAGCAACGCCGCGUGAGGGACGACGGCCUUCGGGUUGUAAACCUCUUUUAGCAGGGAAGAAGCGAAAGUGACGGUACCUGCAGAAAAAGCGCCGGCUAACUACGUGCCAGCAGCCGCGGUAAUACGUAGGGCGCAAGCGUUAUCCGGAAUUAUUGGGCGUAAAGAGCUCGUAGGCGGUUUGUCGCGUCUGCUGUGAAAUCCGGAGGCUCAACCUCCGGCCUGCAGUGGGUACGGGCAGACUAGAGUGCGGUAGGGGAGAUUGGAAUUCCUGGUGUAGCGGUGGAAUGCGCAGAUAUCAGGAGGAACACCGAUGGCGAAGGCAGAUCUCUGGGCCGUAACUGACGCUGAGGAGCG
rnacentral:rRNA from 1 species